UUCUAACCGUAAACGAUGACAACCAGCGAUUAAUCGGCGUUAAUAUAUGACCCGAUUAGCAGCUUCCGGGAAACCAAAGUUUUUCGUUUCCCGGGGGAAGUAUGGUUGCAAAGCUGAAACUUAAAGGAAUUGACGGAAGGGCACCACCAGGAGUGGAGCCUGCGGCUUAAUUUGACUCAACACGGGAAAACUCACCCGGCCCGGACACCGUAAGGAUUGACAGACUGAGAGCUCUUUCUUAAUUCGGUGGGUGGUGGUGCAUGGCCGUUCUUAGUUGGUGGAGCGAUUUGUCUGGUUAAUUCCGAUAACGAACGAGACUCUGGCCUAUUAAAUAGACGGUAUAUUUAAAAGUAUAUCGCGCUUCUUAGAGGGACAAGCGGCGUCUAGCCGCAUGAAAUAGAGCAAUAACAGGUCUGUGAUGCCCUUAGAUGUCCGGGGCUGCACGCGCGCUACACUGAAAGAAUCAGUGGGCGUUCGAACCUAGUUCGGAAGAACCGGGUAACCCAAGUAAAUUCUUUCGUGCUUGGGAUAGGGAAUUGUAAUUAUUUCCCUUAAACGAGGAAUUCCCAGUAAAUGCGGGUCAUAAGCUCGCGUUG
rnacentral:rRNA from 1 species